AUUGAACGCUGGCGGCAGGCCUUACACAUGCAAGUCGAACGGCAGCACGGGGCUACCUGGUGGCUUGUGGCGAACGGGUGAGUAAUAUAUCUGAACAUGCCCAGUAGCGGGGGGUAACUAGUCCGAAGCGUAGCUAAUACCGCAUACGCGCUACGGGGGAAAAGGGGGGGUCUCAACACCUCUCACUAUUUCAGCGGCCGAUAUCGGAUUAGCUAGUUGGGGUGGUAAAGGCUCACCAAGGCGUCGAUCCGUAGCUGGUUUGAGAGGACGACCAGCCACACUGGGACUGAGACACGGCCCAGACUCCUACGGGAGGCAGCAGUGGGGAAUUUUGGACAAUGGGGGCAACCCUGAUCCAGCAAUGCCGCGUGUGCGAAGAAGGCCUUCGGGUUGUAAAGCACUUUUGGUGGGAACGAAACGGUGCAGGAUAAUACCUGGCUCCACUGACGUUACCCGCAGAAUAAGCACCGGCUAACUACGUG
rnacentral:rRNA from 1 species